AUUGAACGCUGGCGGCAGGCUUAACACAUGCAAGUCGAGCGUGAGGCGGACGGGUGAGUAAUGUCCGGGAAACUGCCUGCUGGAGGGGGAUAACUACUGGAAAAGGUAGCUAAUAACGCAUAUCAUCAGAUGUGCCCACAGGGGGUUAGCUAGUAGGUGGGGUAACGGCUCACCUGGGCGACGAUCCCUAGCUGGUCUGAGAGGAUGACCAGCAACACUGGAACGGAGACACGGUCCAGAGUCCGACGGGAGGCAGAGUGGGGGAAUAUUGCACAAUGGGGGCAAGCCUGAUGAAGACAGGCCGGGUGUGUGAAGAAGGCCUUCGGGUUGUAAAGCACGUUCAGCGGGAAGGCGUUACCCGCAGAAGAAGCACCGGCUAACUCCGUGCCAGCCGCCGCGGUAAUUC
rnacentral:rRNA from 1 species